rnacentral:rRNA from 1 species
CCCUUAGAUGUUCUGGGCUGCACGCGCGCUACACUGAUGCGCUCAACGAGUUUACGACCUUGCUUGGAAAGGUUGGGUAAUCUUCUUAAAACGCAUCGUGAUGGGGAUAGAUUAUUGCAAUUAUUAAUCUUCAACGAGGAAUUCCUAGUAAGCGCGAGUCAUCAGCUCGCGCUGAUUACGUCCCUGCCCUUUGUACACACCGCCCGUCGCUACUACCGAUUGGAUGGUUUAGCGAGAACUUUGGACCGGAGCUCGGGUGGUCAGCAAUGGCCGCCCGAGACAUACUGGGAAAUCGCUCCAGCUUGAUCAUCUAGAGGAAGUAAAAGUCGUAACA